ACUUGUGGUGUAACUAACCUAACGGCACAAGAUCCCAUCCAAACUUGAAAGCUAAGCAGGAUGAGCCCUUGUUAGUACUUGGAUAGGAUACCGCUAAUGAAUACCAGGUGCUGUAGGCU
rnacentral:rRNA from 1 species